AGCACUUAUGUUCGUGUUUGUUGAACAGGUGGAAAAAACAUAAAAGAUGGGCACAAAAACGAAUCCUCUUGCAAUCCAGAACUCAUUGCUCAGCAUGAGUCUUGAUAACUGUAAGAAGGAAUAUG
rnacentral:snoRNA from 1 species